UACGGGGGGGGCUAGCGUUGUUCGGAAUUACUGGGCGUAAAGGGCGCGUAGGCGGCCUACUAAGUCGGACGUGAAAUCCCUCGGCUUAACCGGGGAACUGCGUCUGAUACUGGAUGGCUUGAGAUUGGGAGAGGGAUGCGGAAUUCCAGGUGUAGCGGUGAAAUGCGUAGAUAUCUGGAGGAACACCGGUGGCGAAGGCGGCAUCCUGGACCAACACUGACGCUGAGGAGCGAAAGCCAGGGGAGCAAACGGG
rnacentral:rRNA from 1 species